rnacentral:rRNA from 1 species
UACAGAGGUCCCGAGCGUUGUUCGGAUUCACUGGGCGUAAAGGGUUCGUAGGCGGUGAGGUAAGUCGGAUGUGAAAUCUCCGGGCUCAACCCGGAAAUGGCAUUGGAAACUACCUUGCUAGAGGAUUUGAGGGGGGAUUGGAAUACUUGGUGUAGCAGUGAAAUGCGUAGAUAUCAAGUGGAACACCAGUGGCGAAGGCGAAUCCCUGGAAAAUACCUGACACUGAGGCACGAAAGCUAGGGGAGCAAACAGG